UACGGAGGGUGCGAGCGUUAAUCGGAAUUACUGGGCGUAAAGCGCACGCAGGCGGUUUGUUAAGCUAGAUGUGAAAGCCCCGGGCUCAACCUGGGAUGGUCAUUUAGAACUGGCAGACUAGAGUCUUGGAGAGGGGAGAGGAAUUCCAGGUGUAGCGGUGAAAUGCGUAGAUAUCUGGAGGAACAUCAGUGGCGAAGGCGACUCCCUGGCCAAAGACUGACGCUCAUGUGCGAAAGUGUGGGNAGCGAACAGG
rnacentral:rRNA from 1 species